rnacentral:rRNA from 1 species
GACGAAGGAUGCAAGCGUUAUCCGGAUUCAUUGGGUUUAAAGGGUGCGUAGGCGGCCAGAUAAGUCAGUGGUGAAAUCCUGUUGCUUAACAACAGAACUGCCAUUGAUACUGUUUGGCUUGAGUAUAGUUGCUGUGGGCGGAAUAUGACAUGUAGUGGUGAAAUACAUAGAGAUGUCAUAGAACACCGAUUGCGAAGGCAGCUCACAAAACUAUAACUGACGCUGAGGCACGAAAGUGCGGGGAGCAAACAGG